rnacentral:rRNA from 1 species
AUUCUAAUGUUUGGUAAUUGGAAUGAGUACAAUUUAAAUCUCUUAACGACGAUCCACUGGAGGACAAGUCUGGUGCCAGCACCCGCGGUAAUUCCAGCUCCAGUAGCGUAUAUUAAAGUUGUUGCAGUUAAAAAGCUCGUAGUUGGAUUUCUGGUUGUGACUUGCCUAGCCCGCCCGUAAACUUUCGGUGUGAGUGCUGGUGCGAGUCCACCAUUUCUUCUAGGGUUCUCAGACUCCCGUUCUGCGGUGUGGUCUGUAGUAAUUCUAGAUCUUUUACUUUGAAAAAAUUAGAGUGUUUAAAGCAGGCUUGCGCUUAUGAAUACAUUAGCAUGGAAUAAUAAUAUAGGACUUCGGCCUAUUUUGUUGGUUUCGGACGAAGUAAUGAUUGAUAGGGAUAGUUGGGGGUGCUAGUAUUCAGCGUUCAGAGGUGAAAUUCUUGGAUCCGCUGAAGACUAACUUAUGCGAAAGCAUUCACCAAGGAUGUCUUCUUUAAUCAAGAACGAAAGUUGGGGGAUCGAAGACGAUCAGAUACCGUCGUAGUCUCAACCAUAAACGAUACCGACUAAGGAUGAGCGAGCGUUGUGUUUUCGACCUCGUUUGCACUUUAUGAGAAAUCAAAGUCUUUGGGUUCCGGGGGGAGUAUGGUCGCAAGGCUGAAACUUAAAGAAAUUGACGGAAGGGCACCACCAGGAGUGGAGCCUGCGGCUUAAUUUGACCCAACACGGGAAAACUUACCAGGUCCAGACUCAAUGAGGAUUGACAGAUUGAAGAUCUUUCUUGAUUUUGAGGGUGGUGGUGCAUGGCCGUUCUUAGUUGGUGGAGUGAUUUGUCUGGUUUAUUCCGUUAACGAACGAGACCUCGACCUGCUAAAUAGUGCCAGGAACCCUAACCGGUUCUUCGGUUACUUCUUAGAGGGACUAUCGGUUCCCAGCCGGUGGAAGUUCGAGGCAAUAACAGGUCUGUGAUGCCCUUAGAUGUUCUGGACCGCACGUGCGCUACAAUGAUGAGUUCAUCGAGUCUACAACCUGCAUUGAGAGGUGUGGGUAAUCUUUUCAAAGCUCAUCGUGCUGGGGAUAGAUUAUUGUAAUUUUUAAUCUUCAACGAGGAAUUCCUAGUAAACGCAAGUCAUCAACUUGCAUUGAUUACGUCCCUGCCCUUUGUACACACCGCCCGUCGCUACUACCGAUUGGAUGGCUUAGUGAGAUUUAGGGAUCUUGUACUUGAAUUCGGCUUGUCCAUUGACGAGAGCGAGAGAACUAAAUCAAACUUGAUCAUCUAGAGGAAGUAAAAGUCGUA